AUUGAACGCUGGCGGCAGGCCUAACACAUGCAAGUCGAGCGAGCGGCGGACGGGUGAAUAAUGCCUGGGAAUUGCCCAGUCGGGGGGGAUAACAGUUGAAGACGACUGCUAAUACCGCAUACGCAUGGAUUACCCAGGUGGGAUUAGCUAGUUGGUGAGGUAAUGUCUCACCAAGGCCACGAUCCCUAGCUGGUCUGAGAGGAUGAUCAGCCACACGGGAACUGAGAAACGGUCAAGACUCCUACGGGAGGCAGCAGUGGGGAAUAGUGGACAAUGGGGGAAACCCGGAUGCAGCCAGGCCGCGGGGGUGAAGAAGGCCUUCGGGUUGUAAAGCACUUUGAGCGAGGAGGCGUUACUCGCAGAAGAAGCACCGGCUAACUCCGUGCCAGCAGCCGCGGUAAUUC
rnacentral:rRNA from 1 species